rnacentral:lncRNA from 1 species
GCCGGAACUGGAGCAACAGCUGAAAUAUACUGUGGCUCCAGAGCCUAACCUAUUUCUAGCCAGCUCCUCCAGCCCUGCUAGCUGUUCAAAUUUAAAUGCUUACAUGUAAUUUAAAAAAUAUUUUUGCAAUUGAAAAAUUGAAUCGUCAGGUAUUUCCAACAAAUACAUACCAAAAAUUUUUGCAAAAACUCAAAUUCAAUCCUGAUUUUUAUCAUUUUUUGUUCCACUUGACCUCUAGACAUCACACUCAACAGGUUAAUAGUGAAUUAGACUUAAGAUUUGAUGGCAAUAAAAUUAAAAAUGUUAAAUCCAUACCAUGACUAAUGCUUUAGAUCUGCU